UGGGGAAUAUUGGACAAUGGGCGCAAGCCUGAUCCAGCCAUGCCGCGUGUGUGAAGAAGGCCUUCGGGUUGUAAAGCACUUUCAGCGAGGAGGAAGGGAGUUGUGUUAAUAGCACAGCUUCUUGACGUUACUCGCAGAAGAAGCACCGGCUAACUCUGUGCCAGCAGCCGCGGUAAUACAGAGGGUGCAAGCGUUAAUCGGAAUUACUGGGCGUAAAGCGCACGUAGGCGGUUUUUAAGUCAGAUGUGAAAGCCCCGGGCUCAACCUGGGAAUUGCAUUUGAAACUGGAAAACUAGAGUGUGUGAGAGGGGGGUAGAAUUCCAAGUGUAGCGGUGAAAUGCGUAGAGAUUUGGAGGAAUACCAGUGGCGAAGGCGGCCCCCUGGCACAACACUGACGCUCAGGUGCGAAAGCGUGGGGAGCAAACAGGAUUAGAUACCCAGGUAGUCCCUGAGCGGGCUGGCAAGGCGCAU
rnacentral:rRNA from 1 species